AUCGUGUAUCGAACAGUUGUUCUAUUGCUAUCUAUUUCCACUUACUUCAUCUAAUUAUAAUUAUUUAAAAAUGCGUUCUUGCUUCCUAAUUCUGUUACUGGUUGCUGUGCUGUCAAUCUUUUUACUUCCACUUGUAUCUGGAGAUGAAAUUGCUGUUGGUCCUUGUAAUGGUAUUAUCUCAUGUGAAAUGCAGUGCAAAAUUAGCGGAUACGCAGACUCAGUUUGCAGAAAAAAUGUUUGUUAUUGUAUAACGUCUACAGCGUAGAAAGCAAGACAUUUUAAUUGAAAGUUCAGUGAAAAUGAAAGUAUCUUUUGAAAGAGACUUUUAAUUUUCAUUAGGGCUCAAUAAAAUCUAAAAAUGAA